AACAUAUGAAAAAACAAUAAAUUAGAUUUUUUAGUAAGGGGCAAUUGCCUAUAUACCCCUAAAAAGUUUCCGAUUUUUUUAUUUAUCCCUCUUAAAAGGCUAAUAUUAAAAAUACCCUUCUUAUAUUCUAAGUUCUUUCUAAUAUACCCUUGGAGCUAAAUUCCGUUAGUGCGGUGUUAACAGUUGCCGUUAACUCUGAAAAAUUACCAUUUUGCCCAUUCUAAUAUACCCUUGUACUGUAACUAACUUUUCUUAUAUAACCUUCAUAGAGCAAAUACUUUUCUUAUUUGCCCUUCAAAUAUUAAUUAAUUAAUUAAGCACAGCAAAUGAACGGAUGAGGUCGAUCGCAACUAAACCAACCUUGGUGGCUGGAGGCAUAGUUAGUUAAUUCGGAUUCGGAAAAAAUUCGGUUCGGAUAAAAUUCGUCUUUUAAUUUUUAAAUUCGUUGAAAAAUAUGGAUAAAAAAUAGAUUCGGCAAUUAUUCGGAUAUGUGAUUUAUACGGGUAUUAUACAUUCACCAAUUAAAAAUUCAGGAUAAAAAAUUUGGCUAUAUAAUAUGUCACGCCCCGAGCCCGCCUAUUUGGUCGAUUCAGGCACGCCAACAGACCGCCAAACAGACAGAGUUUUCCCUGUACGUCCAAGGCGUCACAAUCAAUACAAUUACAAGAGGUUCCAAACAGGAACAAUAUUCAACAACGAUUGCAUAAGGAAGGCAUCAAACAACAUAAACAACUAGACUAUUACAACCAUUCACAUUUAUAUACUUAUUACAUAUUACAUUUUCAUUUUUCUUUUCUUCCAAAUACAAUCAAGAUUGUUACAACAUUGUUUUCCGACAAGUUUAUUCUUUUCUUUUCUUCU
rnacentral:lncRNA from 1 species